GCAGUAGUGAUCUAAGGGUUAUGAUAAUGGCUUCCCAAGCCGUUUAUCCGGGUUCGAAUCCCGGCUACUGCA
rnacentral:tRNA from 1 species